rnacentral:rRNA from 1 species
AUUGAACGCUGGCGGCAGGUCUAACACAUGCAAGUCGAGCGGUGCCGCGGAGGGGCGGGUAAUGCCGAGGUAUCUGCCUGGUUGUCCGGGAUAACGUGAGGAAACGGGCGCUAAUACCGUAAACUAUUAGAUGAGCCGAGGUCGGAUUAGCUAGUUGGUGGGGUAAUGGCCUACCAAGGCGACGAUCCGUAACUGGUCUGAGAGGAUGAUCAGUCACACCGGAACUGAGACACGGUCCAGACUCCUACGGGAGGCAGCAGUGGGGAAUAUUGGACAAUGGGCGAAAGCCUGAUCCAGCCAUGCCGCGUGUGUGAAGAAGGCCUUCGGGUUGUAAAGUACUUUCAGCGGGGAGGCGUUACCCGCAGAAGAAGCACCGGCUAACUCCGUGCCAGCAGCCGCGGUAAUAC